rnacentral:lncRNA from 1 species
GACCACGCUUGCACCACAUGUUUUGUUUUUGCAAAUUCUUUUGUAAAUUCUUUUCAAAGUCCUUUUGCAAAUAGUCAAAGGUAAAUGAAUAAGAUUUUGCGAAGCAUUUUCAAGAUUUGAAAUUUUCUCCCCCUGUUUCAAAUGCUUUUUCCUUUGACUAAACAAAACUCCCCCUCAAUAAAUUCUCCUCUUAGUGUUCAAGAGGGUUUUGAGAUAUCAUUUUUGAAAAUACUAACUUCUUCCCCUUUUGAACACAAUGAGAUACCAAUUUGAAAUUGCCAAUUGAAAAUCAUUAGUUUUUAAAAUUAGGUGGUGGUGCGGUCCUUUUGCUUUGGGCUCAUGCUCUCUCCCCCUUUGGCAUAAAUCGCCAAAAACAGAGUCAUUAGAGCCCUUUGAAUUACUUUAUCCCCCUUUGGUCAUAAAUAAAUGAGUGGAGAUUAUACCAAAGCCGGAGAGUUGCUCGGAGCGACGGCGAAGGAUGAGUUAUGGAGUGGAAGCCUUUGUCUUCGCCGAAGACUCCAAUUCCCUUUUAAUACACCUAUGACUUGGUUUGAAAUAGACUUGAAAACACAUUAGUCAUAGCAUAUAUAAAGGCGACAUGAUCAAAGGUAUAUGAAUAAGCUAUGUGUGCAAAUCAACAAAAGAAGUUCCUAGAAUCAAGAAUAUUUAGCUCAUGCCUAAGUUUGUUAAAGGUUUGUUCAUCAAGAGGCUUGGUAAAGAUAUCGGCUAAUUGAUCUUUAGUGUUAAUAUAUGAAAUUUCGAUAUCUCCCUUUUGUUGGUGAUCCCUUAGAAAAUGAUACCGAAUGGCUAUGUGUUUAGUGCGGCUAUGCUCAACGGGAUUAUCCUCCAUGCGGAUUGCACUCUCAUUAUCACAUAGAAGAGGAACUUUGGUUAAUUUGUAACCAUAGUCCCUAAGGGUUUGCCUCAUCCAAAGUAGUUGCGCGCAACAAUGGCCUGCAGCAAUGUACUCGGCUUCGGCGGUAGAAAGAGCGACGAAAUUUUGCUUCUUUGAAGCCCAAGACACCAAGGAUCUUCCCAAGAACUGGCAAGUCCCCGAUGUGCUCUUCCUAUUAAUUUCACACCCCGCCCAAUCAGCAUCCGAAUAACCAAUUAUAUCAAAAGUGGAUCCCCUAGGAUACCAAAGCCCAAACUUAGGAGUAUAAACUAAAUAUCUCAAGAUUCGUUUUACGGCCGUAAGGUGAGCUUCCUUAGGGUCGGCUUGGAAUCUUGCACACAUGCAUACGGAAAGCAUAAUAUCCGGUCGUGAUGCACAUAAAUAGAGUAGAGACCCAAUCAUCGACCGGUAUACCUUUUGAUUGACGGAUUUACCUCCCUCGUCGAGGUCGAGAUGCCCAUUGGUUCCCAUGGGUGUCUUGAUGGGUUUGGCAUCCUUCAUCCCAAACUUGCUUAGAAUAUCUUGAGUAUACUUCGUUUGGCUUAGGAAGGUGCCCUCUUGGAGUUGCUUCACUUGAAAUCCUAAGAAAUACUUCAACUCCCCCAUCAUAGACAUCUCGAAUUUUUGUGUCAUGAUCCUACUAAAUUCUUCACAUGUAGACUCGUUAGUAGACCCAAAUAUAAUAUCAUCAACAUAAAUUUGGCAUACAAACAAGUCAUUUUCAAGAGUUUUAGUGAAGAGUGUAGGAUCGGCUUUUCCGACUUUGAACCCAUUAGUGAUAAGGAAAUCUCUAAGGCAUUCAUACCAUGCUCUUGGGGCUUGCUUGAGCCCAUAAAGCGCCUUAGAGAGUUUAUAAACAUGAUUAGGGUACUCACUAUCUUCAAAGCCGGGAGGUUGCUCAACAUAGACCUCUUCCUUGAUUGGUCCAUUGAGGAAGGCACUCUUCACGUUCAUUUGAUAAAGCUUGAAGCCAUGGUAAGUAGCAUAGGCCAAUAAUAUACGAAUUGACUCAAGCCUAGCUACGGGUGCAUAGGUUUCCCUGAAAUUCAAACCUUCGACUUGGGAGUAUCCCUUGGCCACAAGUCGAGCUUUGUUCCUUGUCACCACACCAUGCUCGUCUUGCUUGUUGCGAAAGACCCAUUUGGUUCCUACAACAUUUUGAUUAGGACGUGGAACCAAAUGCCAUACCUCGUUCCUAGUGAAGUUGUUGAGUUCCUCUUGCAUCGCCACCACCCAAUCCGAAUCUUGAAGUGCUUCCUCUACCCUAUGUGGCUCAAUAGAGGAAACAAAAGAGUAAUGCUCACAAAAAUGUGCAACACAAGAUCUAGUGGUUACCCCCUUAUGAAUGUCGCCGAGGAUGGUGUCGACGGGGUGAUCUCGUUGGAUUGCUUGGUGGACUCUUGGGUGUGGCGGUCUUGGUUCUUCAUCCUCCUUGUCUUGAUCAUUUGCAUCUCCCCCUAGAUCAUUGUCGUCAUCUUGAGGUGGCUCAUUAGCUUGAUCUUCUCCUUCAUCAACUUGAGCCUCAUCCUCAUUUUGAGUUGGUGGAGAUGCUUGAGUGGAGGAGGAUGGUUGAUCUUGUGCAUUUGGAGGCUCUUUGGAUUCCUUAGGACACACAUCCCCAAUGGACAUGUUCCUUAGCGCGAUGCACGGAGCCUCUUCAACACCUAUCUCAUCAAGAUCAACUUGUUCUACUUGAGAGUCGUUAGUCUCAUCAAACACAACGUCACAAGAAACUUCAACUUGUCCAGAGGACUUAUUAAAGACUCUAUAUGCCCUUGUGUUCGAAUCAUAUCCUAGUAAAAAGCCUUCUACAGUCUUAGGAGCAAAUUUAGAUUUUCUUCCUCUUUUAACAAGUAUAAAGCAUUUGCUACCAAAGACUCUAAAAUAUGAAAUAUUGGGCUUUUUACCGGUUAGGAGUUCGUAUGAUGUCUUCUUGAGGAUUCGGUGUAGAUACAACCGGUUGAUGGUGUAGCAGGCGGUGUUGACUGCCUCGGCCCAAAACCGAUCCGAAGUCUUGUACUCAUCAAGCAUGGUUCUUGCCAUGUCCAAUAGAGUUCGAUUCUUCCUCUCCACUACACCAUUUUGUUGUGGCGUGUAGGGAGAAGAGAACUCAUGCUUGAUGCCCUCCUCCUCAAGGAAGCCUUCAAUUUGAGAGUUCUUGAACUCCGUCCCGUUAUUGCUUCUAAUUUUCUUGAUCCUUAAGCCGAACUCGUUUUGAGCUCGUCUCAAGAAUCCCUUUAAAGUAUCUUGGGUAUGAGAUUUUUCCUGCAAAAAGAACACCCAAGUGAAGCGAGAAUAAUCAUCCACAAUAACUAGACAGUACUUACUCCCGCCGAUGCUUAUGUAAGCAAUCGGGCCGAAUAGAUCCAUGUGUAGGAGCUCCAGUGGCCUAUCAGUCGUCAUGAUGUUCUUGUGUGGAUGAUGGGUUCCAAUUUGCUUCCCUGCUUGGCAUGCGCUACAAAUCCUGUCUUUCUCAAAAUGAACAUUUGUUAAUCCUAAAAUGUGUUCUCCAUUUAGAAGCUUAUGAAGAUUCUUAAUCCCAACAUGGGCUAGUCGGCGGUGCCAGAGCCAACCCAUGUUAGUCUUAGCAAUUAAGCAAGUGUCGAGUUCAGCUCUAUCAAAAUCUACCAAGUAUAGCUGACCCUCUAACACUCCCUUAAAUGCUACUGAAUCAUCACUUCUUCUAAAGACAGUGACACCUAUAUCAGUGAAUAGACAGUUGUAGCCCAUUUGACAUAAUUGAGAUACGGAAAGCAAGUUGUAAUCUAAUGAAUCAACAAGAAAAACAUUGGAAAUGGAAUGGUCAGGAGAUAUAGCUAUUUUACCCAAACCUUUGACCAAACCUUGGUUUCCAUCCCCGAAUGUGAUAGCUCGUUGGGGAUCCUGGUUUUUCUCAUAGGAGGAGAACAUCUUCUUCUCCCCUGUCAUGUGGUUUGUGCACCCGCUAUCGAUGAUCCAACUUGAGCCCCCGGAUGCAUAAACCUACAAAACAAGUUUAGUUCUUUGUUUUAGGUACCCAAACUGUUUUGGGUCCUUUGGCAUUAGAUACAAGAACUUUGGGUACCCAAACACAAGUCUUUGAUCCCUUGUGUUUGCCCUCAACAAACUUGGCAACUACCUUGCCGGAUUUGUUAGUUAAAACAUAUGAUGCAUCAAAAGUUUUGAAUGAAAUGCUAUGGUCAUUUGAUGCACUAGGAGUUUUCUUUUUAGGCAACUUAGCACGGGUUGGUUGCCUAGAACUAGAUGCCUCACCCUUAUACAUAAAAGCAUGGUUAGGGUCAGGGUGAGACUUCCUAGAAUGAAUUCUCCUAAUUUUGCUCUCGGGAUAACCGACAGGAACAAAAUGUAACCCUCGUUAUCUUGAGGCAUGGGAGCCUUGCCCUUAACAAAAUUGGACAAUUUCUUAGGAGGAGCAUUAAGUUUGACAUUGUCCCCCUUUUGGAAGCCAAUGCCAUCCUUGAUGUCAGGGCGUCUCCCACUAUAAAGCAUACUACGAGCAAAUUUAAAUUUUUCAUUUUCAAGUUCAUGCUCGGCAAUUUUUGCAUCUAAUUUUGCUAUAUGAUCAUUUUGUUGCUUAAUUAAUACCAUAUGAUCAUGAAUAGCAUCAAUAUCAACAUCUCUACAUCUAGUGCAAAUAGAAGUAUGUUCAACGGUAGAUGUAGAGGGUUUGCAAGAUUUUAAUUCUACAACCUUAGCAUGUAAUAUAUCAUUUUUACUUCUAAGGUCGGAAAUGGAAGCAUUGCAAACAUCAAAAUCUUUAGCCUUAGCAAUUAAUUUUUCAUUUUCAUUUCUAAGGCUAGCAAGAGAUAUGUUCAAUUCUUCAAUCUUAGCAAGCAAAUUAUCAUUAUCAUUUCUAAGAUUGGGAAUUGGAACAUCACAAGCAUUUGAAUCAACCUUAGCUAAUAAAAUAGCAUUUUCAUUUCUAAGGUUGUCUAUAGUCUCAUGGCAAGUGCUUAGCUCACUAGAUAGUUUUUCACAUUUUUCUACUUCUAGAGCGUAAGCAUUUUUAACUUUAACAUGCUUCUUAUUUUCUUUAAUAAGGAAGUCCUCUUGGGUGUCCAAGAGAUCAUCUGUUGGGGGCCUUCGGCUUCCGAAGGUCCUCAAAAACAUGAUUUGACAAUGUUUUCCAAGUAUGCGAGCAGGCAGCUUCGGAAUCAGGUUACGGGUAAACAAGAGCAUGGUCAAGACGAAGCUUGACUGGGAUGGAAGGCGAUCAUGACGAAGGAUGAGACGAUCACGAAGCUAUAUGCAGAAAAGCUUCGGCAUGACAGCAGAAAAAGGGAACCGACUUAAAGAUGAAAAGCCAAAUUAGACCUCGAAGAAUUACUAUAGAGUUAUUGAUAAAAGUAAAGGGCAUUAAUGUAAUUUUACACGGGCUGUGUCCCGUGCCUAUAAAUAGAUGAACAGUAUUCCCGUACUGUUCACGCUGACUUGGCAUUAGCAUCACGCUUGUACCCUUACUUUCCUUCAAGCCGAAGGUACAUUUGUAAUUUGUUGUUGUUUAUAUAAGUAAAAUAAAUAGAAAUAAAUUAAUAAUAAUGUUUAAAGUAAUCAUGCUAUUUUCCGUGUUUGUGUAUAAAUCUCUUUUAUCUUUUAUUAUGAUUAUGAAGGUGUGACCUUCAUAACCUUCGUCCGAAAUCCAUUAUAUCCAAAGGGAAAUAAUGCUUCGAAGGACGAAGGGCUUUGAUAUUUAACAUUUUAUGUUGCCUUGUUCUUAAUUCAUAGCAUUUGAGAACAAGUCCCCAACAUUGGCGCCCACCUCCGGUGAACUCACUUCCAUUUCUUGAGCUUUGAACACCUUCGGCAAGCAUCACCUUCGGCAUGCCGCCGAAAAAAGCUUCAGCGACAGGGGCUGCCACUCUGCAGCCGCUGGACCCCAAUCAGGACGUCCUUUCUCUUUGGGAGGCCCGAAGCCAGAAGAGGAAGGCCACUAGUCCAAUGCCUCCGGAGGACGACUUGGACCAGGAAAUCCAAAACCUAGAGAUGCUCCAUCAAUAGGUGCAACGAAAGAAGGAGAAGAUGGCUCGUCUAGCUGACCUUCAGAGGCAGAUAGAUGACGCUUCGGAAGAGGUUCGUCAUCUUGCCCAAGAUGACCAGAACCGAAGGCCUCCGCGCAGAGAGCUUCAUCAGGAAGGCUUCUACAAUGAGGACGACUGGUAUGAAGAUUUCCAUCAAGGAAAUUUUGCUUUUGAUGAUGCUUCUCCUCUAUCAACAGAAUUGCAGGCUACACCAUGGCCCCAGUCUUACAAGCCACCCCAGCUCCCCAUGUACGACGGUCAUACAGACCCGAAGCAAUUCUUGAUGAGCUAUGAAGCAACCAUAUCUUCGUAUGGUGACAAUACUGCAGUCAUGGAAAAGUCUUUUGUCAUGGCCGUCAAGAGUGUCGCUCAAACCUGGUACUCCACUCUUCGGCCAGUGACAAUCACCUCAUGGCAGAAGCUGAAGGAUAUGUUGAUAACCAGCUUCCAAGGGUUUUAGACGAAGCCAGUUACUGCUCAAGCUUUAUUCCAGUGUACCCAGGACCACGAAGAAUAUCUUUAGGCGUAUGUCCAAAGGUUUCUGCGUCUGAGGGCACAGGCGCCAACAGUGCCCAAUGAAAUUGUCAUUGAGGCCAUGAUUAAGGGACUUUGGCCGGGACCUUCAGCGCAGUACUUUGCCAGGAAGCCACCACAAACUUUGGAGAAGCUGCUCCAGAAGAUGGACGAGUAUAUUCGAGCUGACAAUGACUUCCACCAAAGAAGGGAGGAGGCAUUCAGGUUCUCUGAAAUGACCAGGGGCUUCGGAGGAAGAUUUCAUCCGAGGCACGUCAGGUCAAUUCAUAACUCCACUCAGAGUGAUGAUAGAGGGAGCCAAUAGCAAAGGCCACAAUACUCCUCGCAAGCUUCGGGGCAGUAGCAAAGUUCUUUUCGGCCGCCAGCGCCAAGGGGCAGAGGCACUAGGGGCUUCGGGGGAAGAUUUGGGAUCAGCUAAGAAAAAUCUACUGCCUAUUCUAUGGUGAAGACAAGGGCCAUACCACCAGGAUGUGCCAUGUUACCAUCCAGAAGCAAAAGGAGAUAGCAGAAGCUGCAACACAACAGAGUCAGCCGAAGCAGGUCAUGCAUACUGCUUCGUACCAUUCGCCUUACAUUCCAGAAUAUGUAGGCAAUCACUCUGCAGCUUCUGUUGCUUCGGCAAGCCAACCCCAAGCAUCUUGGCAACAGCCUCCACCACCAAUACAACAAGGUCAGCAGCCUGAAGGGAGUCAGCACACUCACCUUCAGCGGGACUUCAGAGAGGGGUCCGAAGCUCGCACAGUCAAUAGCACUGUGCCAGAGUCGAAGCACAUUUACUGACAAAUAUCCUACCUCGAUAGCAGAUUUUCGCAUUUUCACAUUCAAUAUUAUUUUCUUUUUAAUAAGGAACAAUUAUGGAGAGUCUAAAUGUCUUUUAUCGUCUUUUAAUUUCUUGUAAUAGCUUCGCUUUUUACCAUAAUAAAAAUAUAUCUUCUCCAUAGGCCUAAGUUGCCGAAGCAUGAGAAUUUAUGAUGGCAAGGAGGACCUUCGAAUUAUCAAAAAUUUGUUCUAAGGAACGCAACGCAAUUUUUUCGAAGCAGCAAAAAGUCGUUCCUAAGGGAGUGCAGUGUAAGUUUUCUGAGCCUACAGCGAAAAAUAAGCGCUGAUUCCGCCGAAAGUAAAAGGCGAAGAAGCUCCUAAGGGAGGCUUACAGCGAAAAAUAAGCGCUGAUUCCGCUGAAAGUAAAAGGCGAAGAAGCUCCUAAGGGAGGCUUACAGCGAAAAAUAAACGCUGAUUCCGCUGAAGUAAAAGGCGAAGAAGCUCCUAAGGGAGGCUUACAGAGAAAAAUUAAUGUCAACCUUUGGCAAAUAUCAUUUUGCACAGCAUUACAUCAUUACAUCAUUUGCAUAGCAUAACAUCAUACAUCAUAGUGCAUCAACAAUGCAAGAAGGGGGUCUCGAUAUUGAUAUUCGAAGAUUGUUUUGAAGAAAUAGUGACAAGGCACAAAAAAUAGCCGUUGAAAGGUUAUACCAUCGUCAAACUCUGAAAUGGAAGGACCUAUUGAUUAUUGAUUUUACAAGGAUUGGUCAUUGAUUUUUACGAAGCAUGAAAAGAAGGGAAGGUGUUUUUUCGCCGAAGGCUAAAAAAUGGUACGUAUAUGAUGUUUCAUGCAUCGUCAAAAAUAGAAUUAUAAACAGCUAAAAUGCUAUAUCCAAAGUUACACCAUAUUACACAUGAUACUCAGCAAGCAUUACAAUCUAAAUGUUUUUACAGCAACAUUUAAUCUUCCUUUAAGACUACUUCUGCAGCUUCAUUUAGAAGCUGAUCAACAACUCUAUCCAUGAUGGCUUCGGCCAUUUGUUUAAUUUCGUCAUCCCCCUUCGUGUGGGGGCCUGGUGAUAGCUCAGCAGAUUCUCAGGGAAGAGAAGAUAUGGAUAUAUUACUAUUACAAACCACGAACAAGUUCGAAAUCAAAAAAUUACAACGAAGAGCCAGUUAUCACUAAUUAAUACCUAUUUGUCCUUCGGGCUCUGCGCUUUUCUCAGCAGCCUCUGCUACCUUCCUAGCGUCAUGGAUGCCUUUUUCGCUUUUUUGGAUGAUUUCUUGGGCCAUUUCUCGGCCGCCAUUGUCCCAGAUGUCGGUGAAAAAUUUCCCACCGACCAGGCUUGCUUCGGCCGAGGGGUCUUUUAUAUCUUCGAAAGACAAGGCAGUUUUGGAUUGCGCUAAAGAUUUCACAUGCUCACAGCCUUUUCUUUCCAAAACAGUAACAAUCCCCCUAGCGCCCGAAAAAGCACAAAUAUCUCCGCGGCUAUUCAAGAUUUCCUCGAAGGCCUCAGCUUCGUGACUGAUCCAUUCAAUCGGGCCUUCUGGAUUACCUCUUGUGAAAUUUUCUUCGCUAGAGAAUGCGCCAACGCUGGCGAAGCUGGAUUUUAUUUUCUUAGCACAUUCUAUCGAUUUGUCAUAGCACCUUUUCCUGGAUGCACGAAGCUCUUUAACAUUUAUUUCCAAAUGAUUUGUCCAUUGAUCAUUAAGUUCUCGUUUUGUCUCUUCAAGUAUGUGUUCUUCUUUAGCUCUGGCUAGCUGUUUCCGAAGAUCUUCAAUUUCGCGUUUUUGGGCUUCAGCUUGAGCCUUAGAGGUAGCUUCGUCUUCCUUUAUUUUAUCCACCAAUGUAAGCAGAAUUUUAUCUUUUUCCAAAGCUUCAUUCCUCAGCUUAAUAACCUCUGUUCGUAGGUUGUUGAAAGCAAUAUUGUAGCUCUCGUCUUCGGCAUUCUUUUGCGCUCUCAAAGCGUUGCUCAGUAUUAAACCCUAUAUGAAAAAGAAUUAGUAUAAGAAUAAAAGAAUGAUUCAAAAAUAAUAAAUUUCCAAAUAUACAAUUCUCACACCUUCAGGCUAUUAUAUGCAAGGCUAUCCGCAAGAUCGUCCUUCGUCAUAGCACAAAGUCCAGCUUCAAGCUUCGGAAACCCCAUACUUCUAGCCAUCUCCCGGCAGACAGAUAAUUCUUUGUUGUCUGGGAGACAGUAUAAGAAGUCAUCUUCGUCUGUGCCAUUGAACACUAAGGCCCCCUUCGGAUACUUCAGUUCUCGGGCAUAGUGGUUAGCUUCAAAAAUCUCUUCUUCAGAUAAUCUCUUCCCCGAAGCAUGUCGUACAAUAUAAUCACGUAUUUUGGAAGAUGCUUCGGGGGCAGCAGUGCCAGUUUCUUCACUCAAAAUUUGUUCUGCUAUACCUGUUUUUUCGUCUUACAAGGAUUUCACCUUGGCGGGCUCUGAAGGCCCGGCUUCAGUUUCAGACUGUGGCUUUGAAGCUUCGGCGUCAAAGGUUUCAGUGUACACUUCAGAAGUUUUAGCAAUUUUCUUUGGAGUUGUGCUUGAAGAUUUAAUUGUCUCUAAAACAUCUAGCACAUUAACCAUCCUUUUUCUUUUAGGGGUCACUGCUGGACCCUUAUGGCUUUUUGUUGCCUCAGUUUUUGCCGAAGGACUCAAGACUUCUGAUGUUUUUACUUCCUCAACCCUCGUUUCUUCUAUUUUUCAGUCACUGGCACUUCGGCCAACACUUCAAUAUUUGGUAGGGGAGCUGUCUCUUUAGCUUCGGUGGCCGAAGGAGUCCCACCGGCAAAUGCAGGCACUGUGGCCGGUUCAAUAUAACGUGGCCGGUGUGUGAGAACUUUUAUCCUUCUCCUCUUCGGCGCCGGCUCGCUAGGAGCGGCUGAAGCAGUUUCCUUCGCAGAAGAUGUAUUCUUUCUUUUUUCACCCCAUGCCGGAUAAUGGUAGUCGGGGUAGACAAACCCAAUUGCAUCAAAAACUCGAUUGAGCCUUUUCCUUUUUCGGCCUCCGAAGGCCGCCGAUAAUGCAGUAUCUUCGGCCUUUGAGUAUACACCAAGUAAUUCAUCACUGAUGGCCUCAAUACUUUUCAACCAGUCAUCAUCUGGCUCAACGAAUUUAUCUCCGUAUUUAAAUGUAUAUUUCAACCUGACUAGUCCACCUUCGUCAGUUUCUUUAAUGGUCUCCUUCGGCAUUUCCCAUUUUUCCACAAGUGGCCAUAUUCUGAAGGCAAUGUGUUCUUGGACUAAAUCCCUUGUCCUAAUAAAAUAACAAACAACACCGAAGGCUCUCUGGCAUUCUUCGGCUGCUUCAUUCAUUUCCACCUUCGGCCUUCGCAGGCCGAAGCGUUGCCAAAUGGGACGCAUGAUGAUCCUUUUUAUAUCUUCCCGUGAUUUCAAGUCAUUCUUCACGUAAAACCAUUCCGUCAUCCAGUCGUCGGGCCACCUCUUUCGAAAGGUCGGCACGGGGCAGCUUGACCCAGACUGGGAGCCGAAGCUGUAGCAGCCAAAAUUGUUGUGAUACUGUUCUUUACCCCCAGGGUUUUGUCUCGUACAGUAAUUCAUGUAUGUUGCAGAAACUUUUCGCAUUAGGUUCCAAACCUUGGCUUCUCACGGCCCACACAAAGAUAUCCAUCCUUAUGAUUGCUUCGGGGGUAAGUUGGUGAAGGUAGAUUUCAAAUAUCUUCAGUAUUUCUACAACAAAACUGCUUAAGGGAAAUCGUAGUCCAGCUUUCAAGAAGCUUCGAAAUACCACGACUUCAUUUUCCUCAGGAGUCGGGCAAGUCUUCUCUCCUUCAUCAGCCCUCACAAUGGACAAGUCCCAGAAAUAUCUGCCCCUCAUAUUGACAAGAUGAUUUUCUUUAAUACUUGAUUUACCAAAAACCGCAUGGCUUGGUCGCCAAGCUCGAUCUUCGGAGUCUUCACCACCACUAUCCACAUCAUAACUGUCACUGUCACCAGUAUCUUCAGAUAAACCCUCCAAAAUUUCUUUAGUAAUCUUCUCUGUAUUAGUCUUUGACAUUGAUUGAAGAAAGCCCAGAUGCAUCUCCUUAGAAAGACUUAGCUUCGAAUCACCAACAACUUUUUUAUCUUCAGACAUCCUUGCAAACGCUGAGAAAGUCCUCUCGAAACCGAAGCUUAAAAAUCUAAAAAGCCAAGCAAGUGUUGUUGCGCGCAGGCUAACAGUUGGGUGAGUAAAAGCAGUUGGCAAGAGAGCGUGCCAAAUAAACUUGUGAUGAGCUCUUAUUUAUACACCUAGUGCGUUGAAAACUGGAGGGUCCCGCUUGUCAAAGACUGUUGCUAUUCUAGCAAAGAGAAGGUGUUUUUUCGGACCUUCGGCUUAAGGCCUUCGUCCAUGUCGCAAUAUGAAUUUAUCAUUCCAGCAAAUUAAUAUUGCGAGGGGCUACUGUUGGGGGCCUUCGGCUUCCGAAGGUCCUCAAAAACAUGAUUUGACAAUGUUUUCCAAGUAUGCGAGCAGGCAGCUUCGGAAUCAGGUUACGGGUAAACAAGAGCAUGGUCAAGACGAAGCUUGACUGGGAUGGAAGGCGAUCAUGACGAAGGAUGAGACGAUCACGAAGCUAUAUGCAGAAAAGCUUCGGCAUGACAGCAGAAAAAGGGAACCGACUUAAAGAUGAAAAGCCAAAUUAGACCUCGAAGAAUUACUAUAGAGUUAUUGAUAAAAGUAAAGGGCAUUACUGUAAUUUUACACGGGCUGUGUCCCGUGCCUAUAAAUAGAUGAACAGUAUUCCCAUACUGUUCACGCUGACUUGGCAUUAGCAUCACGCUUGUACCCUUACUUUCCUUCAAGCCGAAGGUACAUUUGUAAUUUGUUGUUGUUUAUAUAAGUAAAAUAAAUAGAAAUAAAUUAAUAAUAAUGUUCAAAGUAAUCAUGCUAUUUUCCGUGUUUGUGUAUAAAUCUCUUUUAUCUUUUAUUAUGAUUAUGAAGGUGUGACCUUCAUAACCUUCGUCCGAAAUCCAUUAUAUCCAAAGGGAAAUAAUGCUUCGAAGGACGAAGGGCUUUGAUAUUUAACAUUUUAUGUUGCCUUGUUCUUAAUUCAUAGCAUUUGAGAACACAAGUCCCCAACAUCAUCCUUUUCAUGGAUAGCACUAAUCAAUUCAUUUAAUUUCUCUUUUUGUUGCAUGUUUAAGUUGGCAAAAAGAGUACGCAAAUUAUCUUACUCAUCACUAGCAUUAUCAUCGCUAGAGGACUCAUAUCUAGUGGAGGAUUUGGAUUUAACCUUCUUCUUUUUGCCGUCCUUUGCCAUGAGGCACUUAUGGUCGACGUUGGGGAAGAGAAGGCCCUUGUUGAUGGCAAUGUUGGCGGCGUCCUCGUCGGAGGAGGAGUCGGAGGAGCUCUCGUCCGAGUCCCAUUCGCGACAUAUAUGGGCGUCGCCACCCUUCUUCUUGUAGUAUUUCUUCUUCUCCUUUCUUCUCCCCUUCUUGUCGUCGCCCUUGUCACUGUCACUAGAAAUAGGACAUUUUGCUAUAAAAUGACCGGGCUAACCACACUUGUAGCAAACCUUCUUGGAGCGGUGCUUGUAGUCUUUCCCCCUCCUUUACUUGAGGAUUUGGCGAAAGCUUUUGAUGACAAGCGCCAUUUCCUCGUUGUCGAGCUUGGAGGCGUCGAUGGGUGUUCUACUCGGUGUAGACUCCUCCUUCUUCUCCUCUGUCGCUUUGAAUGCGACCGGUUGAGCUUCGGACGUGGAGGGACCAUCAAGCUCGUUGAUCUUCCUUGAGCCUUUGAUCAUAAAUUCAAAGCUCACAAAAUUCCCGAUUAUUUCCUCGGGAGUCAUUAGUGUAUAUCUUGGAUUGCCACAAAUUAAUUGGACUUGAGUAGGGUUAAGGAAAAUAAGUGAUCUUAGAAUAACCUUAACCAUUUCGUGGUCAUCCCAUUUUUUGCUCCCGAGGUUGCGCACUUGAUUCACCAAGGUUUUGAGCCGGUUGUACAUGUCUUAUGGCUCCUCCCCUUGGCGAAGACGAAAGCGACCGAGCUCCCCCUCGAUCGUCUCCCGCUUGGUGAUCUUGGUUAGCUCAUCUCCUUCGUGCGCGGUCUUGAGCACGUCCCAAACUUCCUUGGCGCUCUUUAAUCCUUGCACCUUGUUAUACUCCUCUCGACUUAGAGAGGCGAGGAGUAUAGUUGUGGCUUGGGAGUUGAAGUGCUCGAUUUAGGCCACCUCGUCCUCAUCAUAAUCCUCAUCCCCUACGGAUGGUACCUGUGCUCCAAACUCAACAACAUUCCAUAUACUUUUGUGGAGUGAGGUUAGGUGGAAUUUCAUCAAAUCACUCCACCUAGCAUAAUCUUCACCGUCAAAAGUUGGCGGUUUGCCUAAUGGAACGGAAAGUAAUGGAGUAUGUCUAGAAGUGCGAGGAUAGUGUAAGGGGAUCUUACUAAACUUCUUGCGCUCAUGGCGCUUAGAAGUUACGGAGGGCGCGUCGGAGCCGGAGGUGGAAGGCGAUGACGUAUCGGUCUCGUAGUAGACCACAUUCCUCAUCUUAUUUUUCUUGUCGCCACUCCGAUGCGACUUGUGGGAAGAGGAUUUCUUUUCCUUCCCUUUCUUUUUGUUGCGGGACUCUUCCGAUGAAGCCUUCCCAUGACUUGUAGUGGGCUUGUCGCCGAUGGGCUUGUCGCCGGUCUCCAUCUCCCUCUUGGCGUGAUCUCCCGACAUCACUUCGAGCGGUUAGGCUCUAAUGAAGCACCGGGCUCUAAUACCAAUUGAAAGUCGCCUAGAGGGGGGUGAAUAGGGCGAAACUGAAAUUUACAAAGUUAAUCACAACUACAAGCCGGGUUAGCGUUAGAAAUAUAAUCGAGUCCGCGAGAGAGGGUGCAAAACAAAUCGCAAGCGAAUAAAGAGUGUGACACGCGGAUUUGUUUUACCGAGGUUCGGUUCUCGCAAACCUACUCCCCGUUGAGGAGGCCACAAAGGCCGGGUCUUUUUCAACCCCUUCCCUCUCUCAAACUGUCCCUCUGACCGAGUGAGCUUUCUCUUCUCAAAUCAACCGGGAACAAAACUUCCCCGCAAGGACCACCACACAAUUGGUGUCUCUUGCCUCGGUUACAAGUGAGUAUUGAUCUCAAGAAAGAAUGAGAAAGAAGAAAGCAAUCCAAGCGCAAGAGCUCAAAAGAACACGACAAAUCACUCUCACUAGUCACAAAAGCUUUUGCGGAAUUGGGAGAGGAUUUGAUCACUUGGGUGUGUCUAGAAUUGAAUACUAGAGCUCUUGUAAGUAGUUGGAAGGUGGAAAACUUGGAUGACUUGAAUGUGGGGUGGUUGAGGGUAUUUAUAGCCCCAACCACCAAACUAGCCGUUUGGUGGAGGCUGCUGUCGCAUGGCGCACCGGACAGUCCGGUGCGCCACCGGACAGUGUCCGGUGCGCCAGCCACGUCACCAGGACGUUGGGUUCCGACCGUUGGAGCUCUGACUGUUGGGCCCGCCUGGAUGUCCGGUGGCACACCGGACAUGUACUGUAGAGUGUUCGGUGUGCCACUUCGCGCGUGCCUGACUUCUGCGCGCUCUGGCGCGCAUUAAUUGCUUCUGCAGGUGACCGUUGGCGCGAAGUAGUCGUUGCUCCGCUGGCUCACCGGACAGUCCGGUGUGCACCGGACAUGUCCGGUGAAUUAUAGCGGAGCGGAUUCCCGAAGCUGGCGAGUUCAGAGUCGCUCUUCCUUGGAGCACCGGACAGUCCGGUGAAUUAUAGCGGAGCGCCUCUGAGUUUUCCCAAAUGUGAAGAUUUUGACUUGGAGUUCCCUGGUGCACCGGACACUGUCCGGUGGCACACCGGACAGUCCGGUGCGCCAGACUAGGGCAGCCUUCGGUUAUCCCUUGCUCUCUUUGUUGAACCCAUUUCUUGGUCUUUUUAUUGGCUAAGUGUGAACCUUUGGCACCUGUAUAACUUAUAGACUAGAGCAAACUGGUUAGUCCAAUUAUUUGUGUUGGGCAAUUCAACCACCAAAAUCAAUUAGGAAAAUAGGUGUAAGCCUAAUUCCCUUUCAAGAGAGAUGUAUGGGUAUGGAGGACGACGAGAACUCACCGCCGCAAGAGGAGACGCAAGAGAUGUCCAGCCCUGAGAACACUUCAAGCCGCGAAGGAGAGAAGAAGACGACGUCUAAGCAUGGCGACAGUAAUGGUGAAAGGACCCCAAUUGACUGUCUCAUAUCCAUUUUGGAGUUUGUCUGACGGUUGCAUCUCUAAAACAUAGAAACCAUCGUCAACGCCUCUAUUUUAUCGAAACCACAUCUCUCUUGUUCCAUAAUGACAAUUCUUUGCCUUCCGGUGGCAGGGGUGACUGGGUGUGGCGCAUAACGCACUGCCGUUGCGGGCCUGUGGGCUGUGGCGGCUGCAACACUAGUCGCGUCUCGCGUGUGCGGCUAGGGUUCAGCACUCCUCUAUGUUCUCUCCUCUACAGCAGUCAGCGGUACAAGCGUACAGCCCAAGCGACCAAGCCCAAUACUCCAAAUCUCAAGCCCAAUGCACACACGUAGCCAUGGAUGGUCGGAUGGAGUGGAGUGGACUGUGGACCGAUCACCGAUGACCUGCAAACAGAAUGGUUUUAACGGGGCGAGUAGAUGGGUAUCGGGGAUGGGUAUUGGUUGACCAUGCCCGAACCUGCUAUUUUCGACCGAUAAUGAUUUUGUACUGUUUAGAUCCCUGUGGGGAUCAAAUUAACCCCACAUCAGUCUCCUAAUGAAGACAUUCACUACGAAGAAUCGGGGAUCGGAUCAUCAUUGUCAUCUCUAGUUUUUACCUGUCGUUUAUGUUUGUCUUUGUCAUUAAGUAAAAAAAUAUAAAAUCAUGACGUCAACCGUUUGCAUGAAUGGUAUCAAUAUUAUGUUUUAUCUAAAUUUUAUAUUUACAACAUAUGUUUGUAUACUAGGGCUGUCGCUUCGGAUUAAACCAGUUGUUUGAACUGCUACAACUAUAAUUUAUAGAGACAAAAAUACUGUAGCAGUAGAAGUCGAUAUGGAUCAAAGUCACAUGUGAAAGUUCUUGUGUACACUAGAUCAAACAUUGUUUAAUGAAAGUAAACGUGAAUCAUUUAUUAAGAAAUAGGGUAUAAAUACACCCUAUGGUAUAUACCAUCAUGUGUAUCUUCCACUUAAAAUACCGUGCAAUGAUGUUAGAGUUAUAUAUAUAUGCUCUAAGGUAAACAUUCUUAACCUUUAAAAGAUACUAACAAGAGCAUAAAAUGAUAAUUAAUGCUUCUGCAUCUCAAUAUAUCUUAUAAUUAUGUAGCCACGAGCAUACAACUAGUCUCUAUCUCUACUAUCUAUUAAGGACCUAAUAUGGGCGCCGGGUGCUACCACAGCUUCACCCUCCCUACACCCGGUGCCCACAAAAUAUAGUGCAAAACUAGCACUCGAACCCACACCCCUCUGCUAUAUAAAUUUAGGGCUAACCACUAAACCAUACGUACCUUAGUGUUUACAAAUAAACAAAAAAUAUAUUUGUAGCCUAGAUGUCGCUUCCCACGCUCCCCGUCUCGUGGCAAAAACAGUGUAGAACGAACACUCGAACCUACAAUCCUCUGAUCCACAAAUUUAGGAUUAACCACCAAACAAUAUGUAUCUUAUUGUUUCCAAAUAAACAAAAAUUAUAUUUAUAGCCUAAGCGUUGCUCUCUAUGCUCCUCUAACUCGUGGUAACGCACGAACACGUACCUGUAUUUAAGAAAACCAAAACAUUUUAUAAUUUUAAAAAGAACGCCCUCUCGAGCAUUUCGGAGGGAAAAAGGAAAACGAGGCAUAAAAUUAGGAGUGGUCUUUGGGGAAUUCUGUUCCGCAGAAUCCGAGUCCAAUAGCUCUCCUCCCCAGGGCUUUCAACUUCUCCAAACCCCAUCUCGCCGCCGAGGCCGAGCGAGCAGAGCAGAACACCACGUCGGCGGCUUUUCCCUGUCUCUCCGCUGGAUACUACACCCGCCGCCGCAGCGCCGAUCCUGUCCGAGUCAAGCGGAGCGGGGGAUCGGAUUGGUUGCUUCCUUCCCUCCAUCUCAUGUUGGUGGUAAGCAGGCCUAGCUGGUUCGGGUAGAUUUUCUUGUCUUCCCUAAGUUCUAAGCGGUGUUGUUGUUCCCCUGUCAUACCCAAACACAUCUUCGUUUGCGUUCGUCUAGUUGCUCCGCUCUGGAGUUGCGUGCUUCGUGCCCAGCUGGUAAUCGUAUGGCCCUUGCUGUUCUUGCUGCUGCUGUUGACUGUGCAGGAUGGACUAGUUUCAACCUUAGGAUCUCUUGCUACCUAAUUCAGGUGCGGGUGCAGCUUAAGUCGCAUAGAUUUUGGGUUUUCAGCUGAAAAUCACGUGUCCCAUGCCAGUUGCGCCCGUGCGUGGGGUUUUAGCACGGUUCAAUUGAGCUGUUUCAACAAAACCUUAUUAUUGCGCUCGUUUCUUGUACUUGCAGUUUUUUCUUCGUGCCUGUGUUUUCCGAUUAGAGUUACUUUGUUCCACGUUUAGUUAUACUUGAUUAUCCUGCGGACAACCUGAUAUUGUUUCCUUGCCACUGUCAUCCCAAUGUGCUGUUGAUAAACGAACGACAAUUUAUCUUAUCUAGUAUAGGAAAAAUCAAGUUGAUUGCCACUAGCUUUGGAUUAUACUGGUUGCUUGUGACAUUCAUUAUAUUUUAGGUUAAUUAUUGCAAAAGUAGAGUGUCAUGUACACGGUUAAUUAGAAAUAUGUCACUAAUUUUGAAAAGUUAGAAACUAGUUCAUUUUCAAGCCACUCCAUGGCAUCAAAAUGAACUAACCAUCUAAUUUUACAAAAGUAGAGUGGCAUGCAUACAAUUAAUCCUUAUAUUUAUUUUAUAUCUAUUUGUAUAAAGAGCUCGCCGUGGAUAGGAAGGGGUGGAAGUGUGCAAUUCACGUGCCAGAACCUUGAUUUAUAGUUUCGCUUUUCCUCCUUAAUCGUUUGACCUUUUCUUGUGCCCAUUUAGACCUUGCUGGUUCUUGUGGGUUUUAUCUCUUUUAUGUGUUCCCCCGUUUCGUCGUUUUCGGUUCUCCUUUGCCUUUGUUUCCCCUUUUUUCUUUGGGGGUUGAGCUCUGAGGUUUUCAUACGGGGUUUCAUCUCUAGCCUACCCCAACGUGCUUGGGACAAAAAGCUUUGUUGUUGUUGUUGUAUAUCCUGCAUAUUUUUUGCUGACAAUUUGGUAGAAUUAUAACAAUUAGUCCAAAAAUUGGAUUACUCCUUUUGAAACAUUAAUGAUUAUUUAUAUCAGACAAGAGGGUACCACACAAUCUAAAAGAAAGUUUUAUAGGGCGACCUUUAGACCUGCUACUGCUAUGUAUGUUGUAUGGUGCAAAAUGUUGGCCUACACAAAUGACAACAUGUUUAACAUAUAAGUGUUAUGGAAAUGUGUAUGUUGCAUUGAAUUUGUGGCCAUAUAAGAAGGGAUCAACCUGGAACAAUGAUAUACAUGAUAGGCUAGAAAUAGCAUCAAUUAAAGAAAAGCUUGUCCAACACCGGUUGAGAAUUGAGAUGGUUUGAACAUGUCCAACAGAUUCCUCCAGAAGCACCAGUGCAUAGUGGAUCCUAAGGCGCAAUAGCAAUCGUAAGAGAGACAAGGGAAGACCGAAGUUGACAUGGGAAGAUACAGUAAAAGAAGACUUGAAAGGAUGGAAUAUACCUAAAGAUUUAGCCUUUAAUAUGAGUGCAUGGAAGACAACUAUCCAUAUGCCUAAACCUUGACUUGUGGUUUAUGUUGGAUUUCAAUUCUAGCCUAUACCAGCUUGUUUGGGACUAAAAGGCUUUGCUGGUGAUCUGUAUUAGAUAAAUUUGAGCCUAUACUACUCAUACUGACAUUGUUAUUAAAACGUCGUUUAAACGACAAAACGUGUUUAAAAGUUGGAACGUCCGAACGUUUUAGGUUUAGGGCGUAGAACGUCCGUUUCGAGUGUUUAAGCGUCCAAAUAGCGUUUUAGGGCGUUUUAGACGUUCUACCCGUCCUGGGCCUUUCUUGGGCCUUUAGCAUUUUCUAGGUCACUUUCCUAGGCACUGGCCAGCGCUGGAUGCAGCGCCCUCACUCCCUUAGCCAGCCGCCGCUCUGCUCUCCUCUCUCCUCUCCUUAGCCACAGCCGGCCGCCGCUCUGCUCUCCUCUCUCCUCUCCUCAGCCACAGCCAGCCGCCGCUCUCCUCUCUCCUCUCCUCAGCUAGACAGCCAACCGCUGCUCUCUGGCGCCCACAGCAGCCCAGCCGCGCCCACAACAGCCCAGCCGGUAGCCGCUGCUCUCCUCAGCUAACAGACCACAGCAGACCGCCCUCGGCCCUCCACGAACUGUGGCACUGCGCCCACAGCAGACCAUAUUGGUGAGCACUGAUUUUGUGCAACCAUAUUGCCCAACAAUGAAUCAAUCAUUCAUGCUCAACCAUAUUGGUGAGUACUGAUUGUGCAACCAUAUUGCUCAUAGUGAAUUUCAAUGGCAACAAAUAGUGAGGCAAAUGACUCCUAUGACCCACUCAAAGAUCAAUCACGAAGGCCAACGUCAAAUGAUCCAGGAUGAUCUUUUUAUGCUAUUUGGUUUGUGAACUCAACUUAUGUAUGAACUUAUUCUAUAUUUGAAUUUCUAUGUCAAGUCUGAAAAGACGUUUCAACAUUCGUUUAAACGUUUAAAAGUUAAAAAGUUGGUUCAUAACGUUUUAACGUUUUACCGCUUUAAUAACCAUGCAUACUGACUUAGAUGUGUGUUGAUGGACACAAAAUGUGGUGGUUUCUCAAAUUUUUAGCGGGGGCGAUUGCAACACAAAUCUGCUUGUUACUUAAUAUAAUUUCUCCUUAGUCCUUACCCUGGAAAUGUGAUGAAAAGAGUACUAGAAACAAGAUUCAAUGUCAAAACUUUGAUGCUCUGUGCUAUACUGAACUCCCUGACUCCCUGUGAACUUUCUGAGGCCAUCUGUCUUACAAGUUACAACUUCCACCCAAUGCUUAACAAAUCCUAGGUGGCAUGCAUACUUGAAUCGUACUUGCGUUAUUGCAUGCAUUUGGAAUUUAAAUUGGCCUCUUCUUUCAAUAUAGGACCAUAAAUGAGCUAGUGUGCUAUGUAUGUUCACUGUACCAAAGUGUGACCAGGCUGGUUUUUAGGUGGAAAAGAGUGGCAUAACCCAAAAUGUGGUGGCCUCUGUAGUAUGCUUUUGCUUACGUAUGUGCUACUUGUUGGGAGAGCUCAGCACAUGAUGCUGUGGUUUCUUCUGGUGCCAGGAUAUGGCCUAAUGGUGUUAUCUCAUUAGGUAGUCUCUAGUAAGUAAUUACUCCAACCUAAUUAAGAUGGACUUUCUGCUUACCAGUCAAAUUUUUGCUUCUUGAUGUUACUAGAAAAAUGAUAAGUACUAAUUGAAGUAGUUCUUUUCUGUUGCUAAAUGAUAUAUUUUUUAACAAUAGCUGUUGAGUGCCAUUAGAGUGAAAUAUCGAGAAUAGACUGUCAGAAUUAAGUGCCCAUAGUUGCAGUUUUCUAAUCCACACACAAUCUUAUGCUGGUGUAAUGGUUGGUUGUUUACCUGAUGCUGUAUUUGCUAUUUCGUUAUAUGAUUUCCCUCUUUCUUCUGUCAAUAUAUUUUGUUUCUUCAUAGGACUGAGAGAUGGAGUUUUAAUUUCAAAUAGCAUCUAGAGGACUGCCACUAAGCUUUUAAGUUGGUAUAUAAUGGGUGGCUGUUGUUGCUGUUCGUCGAGAACAUCUGAAGCAGUUAGAGCACGAGCACCAGUUGAUAUAUAUGUAUGGAAAUUCGCUCUCUUUCUUCUCUACAUCAAUGUUACUAUCUUCCUUUUUGUGACACAAUCCAUACCAAAUAGCAUAAAGAUAAUGUCAGUGAGUCUGUCUUACAAUUGUCUUACUAUACUGUCAAAGAUGAAAUAGGCAAUCUGUUAUUGUACUCUUUAUGUUCUUUUAUGGAAUACGCAGGAGAACUGCUCAUCUUUGUAUUAAGAGAGAAAAGGGGGAUCCGGAACUUUGCCCCCUGCUCUGGACCAAGCAGAGAGGGCUGCCAAAACAAACACAACUGAGACUAACUAAACAGGCAAUAUGGGUAGAACCUGACCAACACUCAGAAAGCCACUAACUAGCCCACCCUUUGAACUGGAGUGAGUUCUUUAAGAUGUUUGGCUUUGGCAAAAUACCAAAGAUGGUGUUCUUCAACAAAUUGUGCAGGGUCUUCUGCAUGCUGCGCUGAAUUUUAUUAAAGAGAAUGGCAUUCCUAUGCUUCCAAAGAGAUCAAGCUCCUAGAAUGAUGACCGAGUUAAACUGCUUUCUUGACCAGUUUUGAGAGGUGCUCAGUUGCUCUCCUCCAUCAAUUAGCAAAAGAGGUCUCAACUUGACUUGAGGCUGUUGAGGCAAGGCCUAGCUUCUUCUUGGUCACAAAACACACAUUGCUGAGGGUGGGCAAGACCUUUGCUAGCCGGUCAGCCGUCCAACACUUAUUUCUAAUUUCUAGCCAUAGGAAGAUUUUGCACUUUGCUAUAACCCAAGUUCUCCAUAUAUGCCCCAUGGCUCAAAGGUCACAGAUUGUCGGAAGAAGGUCGAGUAGGCUGAUUUAACUGAAUAUUGCCCAGAGCUAGAGCAUGUCUACAUGUGUUGAUCUUCAUUAGCAUUGAGGGCCACUUCUUGGACAACAUCCCAAAGAUGAAAAAACUCAUAAAUACUAGAUGGAGAGAGAUUUCCUUGAAUAUCAGGGAUCCAUCAUUUGAUCCUCGAGAACCAUCAACUACUGUUCUUGUUUUUUUGAAUCUUGCUGAGCUCCUCAAACAGAUGGAGCUAUUUCAGCUAUAGAACAACCCAACGGCCACUUAUCAGACUAGAGCAGAGUUUAGACCCAUUACCCACCAUCGUUGACACAACAAUGGAGGAGAGAGCUAGGGCAUUCUUGUGGACAAGAAUUUCCACCCCUUUCCAAACUCUUGAAGACUCGGUUUUUUUCAAGCCAUAGCCAACGAAUUUGGAGAGCCCAACUCAUUCUUUCUAGAUCCAAAAUACCUAAACCACUGAGGUUGAUAGGUCUUUGUACUUCGUACCGUGCAACCAAAUAGGAUUUGCCAUCCAAUUGUUGUCUACCUUUCCAAAGAAUCUUCUCAAUUUGUCAAUAGCCUUGAUGAACCAUUUAGGGACCUUGAUGGCAAUAAGGACAUGGAUUGUAACAUCAGGGAUGACAAACCUCACCCAGGUGGCUCAACCGACCAUAUUCAUUAAAGUUGCCUUCCAUCCCGGAAGCUUGUUACUAGUUUUCUCAAUCCACUGCCAUAAAACUCUUCUUGUCAACUUCUUGUUAGAGAUAGGGAGAUCCAAAUAGAUACAAGGGAAUUCAACAUGAACAUAAGGGAGUGACUACUCCAUGGCUUGCACCUGGUACUGAUCACAUUGAACGGGGAUGGCACAACUCUCUUGCAUAUUAGUGUGAAGACCUGAGGCCUCUCCAAACUUGCUGAGAACAUUCCUCGUGAGUUGCAUUUCUUCUUCAUUUGGUUUAAUGAAUAGAACCAUGUCAUCAGCAUAAAUCUAUCGUUUGACCUUGAAAACCACAAGAGGUUGCAGCAAACCUAAGCCUCCCGCUUUAAGAAAGAGACUAUUAAGGACAUCCAUGACUAGAAUAAACAUCAUUGGCGAAAGGGGGUCUCCUUGAAGAAGACCUAUCCUAUGGCUGAUCUCCUUUCUAGUUUGCCUAUUAAGAAGGAUGCGAGUUGAGGCAGUGCCAAGCAGAUUAGAGACCAUGUUGCACCAAAUGGGACCAAAUCCUAUAUGUCUUAAACCUUCUAGCAAGAAUUGUCUAAGAGACCGAGUCAAAAGCUUUGGAGAUGUCCAAUUUUAGAAAAAAACUAGGAACCUUUUUAUUAUAAAGGUGUUUUAUUGUUUAUUGGACCAUGAGAUGAUGUCAUGAAUGCAACACUCGUUUAUAAACGGAUUCUGGUUGGCUGCCACGAACGUGUCUAGAUGAGGAGCCAACUUAUUUGCUAAGAUUUUCAUCACAAGCUUCACAAAGCUAUGGAUUAGGCUGAUUGGGUGAAAAUCUUUUGGAGUAAAAGCUUCAUUCUUUUUGGGUUUAAGGUAAGGUAAGCCAAGUUGAGCAACCACGGUUUUCUAUCAUCUCCCUGUUGAAGAGUAAUAAUUGUCGUCAAGAGUAAUAAUAAGGCAAGUUGAAAGCAACCAUAAUUUUCAUGCGCUCAGCCUUACCAUCCUGAGAAGAGGUGUAGGGACAGAACAUCCGGAGCUGUACGCCAUGGGAGAAGGAUCGAGCGGAGUUAUCAAACUCAUGAUCAUUGUUAUACUGGACAACCUUAAUGGUGCGACCAAAUUGAGUGAAAACCCACGCGAAGAAGUGUUGAAGAGUCGCAAAAGUAUCAGACUUUGAAUGCAAGUGAAAAGUCCACGGAUAAUGAGAGCAAUCAUCAAGAACCACCAUAUAAUAUUUAUAACCCAAAACACUAAUAACAUGAGAGGUCCACAAAUCAUAGUGUAUAUCUGUAUGAGAUCAAAAUUUUGCAUAGCCUGAGAGGAGCUAGAGAUGACUGAACUACUACAUAACUUGUACAACAUAUCGGGGCUAGGAUAACCGAGUUGAUGAUGCCAAAUUGCCAAGUGCUAGAGGUAGCGGGAGUAGUUAGUGUGUGCGACUGCAGCGAGGACGAAGACGACGAUGUAGUAGAAGCAAUAGGUGGAGAAGUGGACGUAGGCAACCGCAGGUUGUACAUGGGCUGGAGCUAUCACAUCGGACAAGAAGGCUUUGGGCAGCGAGAUCCUUCACAGACAAGCCAAAAGGAUCAAACUCAAAUAGAUCAAGAGGUAUAAGUGGUAAAUUCACGAAUAGAUAAAAGAUUUUGUAUGAUAUGGGUUGACAAGAACAUUGCGAAGAUGGAAAGGCUUGGGAAGAACUGAAUCACCUACAAAUGGGGAUAAUGUUCCCAUUGCCCACAAUGAUAGAUGAAGGACGAGACAUGAGGUGGGUGAGAAGAAGAAAUUAUUUCAGUGUCUGGAGUGGUGUGGUAGGAUGCACCAGAAUUAGCAACCCAGUCAGUGACAACAGGAGUCAGGGUCAUCAUGCUGAAGGAGCUAGCAAGUGACAGCUGAUCCCACCUGUUGCAGUAUAGAAUACAAUACCCUAGCUGCAGGAGUACAAGAUAUGGAACCCUAGUGGGCCAGACCUAUAUACACAGAUACUCUAACACCCCUCGCAGUCGAAACUCUAGCCACUGCAGAUGUUGAGACUGGAUCGAAACUCCGUGAACACCACUGAUGGGAGCCCCUUGGUGAAGACGUCGACGAACUAGGAGGUGGUCGGGACGUGAAGAACGCGAACAGCUCCACAGGCGACCCGUUCGCGGACGAAGUGAAGGUCGAUCUCGACAUGCUUCGUGCGCUGGUGUUGGACGGGGUUGGUGGAGAGGUAGACGGCGCUGACGUUGUCGCUGAAGACCAGGGUGCUCGUGGCCAGCGGGCUGUGGAGCUCAUGGAGCAACUGACGGAGCCAAGUCGCCUCAGCCACGCCAUUGGCUACGACGCGACACUCGGCCUCAGCGCUGGAGCGGGAGACAACCGGCUGGCGCUUCGACGACCACGAGACGAGGCUGUUGUCGAGGAACACGGCGUAGCCCGAGGUGGACCGACGCAUGUCUGGACAGCUCGCCCAGUCGGCAUCGUUGUAGACGCGAAGCUCAGUGACUGAGGACCGGCGUAGAAGGAGACCGAAGUCGAGAGUGCCUCGCAAGUACCGCAGGAUCCGCUUCAUCGCGGUGAGAUGCGGCUCCCGAGGGUCGUGCAUGUGGAGGCACACCUGCUGGACGACGUAGGCGAUGUCGGGCCUGGUGAAGAUGAGAUAAUGAAGGGCCCCGACAAUACUCCGGUAGCCGGUGGGAUCGGCGACCGGUGGGCCGGCGGCGGAGAGUUUGCCUUGUGUAUCCAUCGGAGUCUCGCAGGGCUUGCAUUCAACCAUGCCAGCGCGUUCAAGAAUGUCGACGGUGUACUGCUGCUGGUGGAGGAACAGGCCCAGGAGACGGCGCUCGACGGUGACCCCCAGGAAGUGGUGGAGUGCCCCCAGGUCCUUCAUCGCAAACUCCUGCUGGAGGCAGGAGAUGAUGCGACGCAGAAGCUCAGGGGAGGAGGCGGUGAGGACGAUGUCGUCGACGUAGAGGAGGAGGUGUGCUGUAUCUGAGCCGGGACGGAGGAUGAACAGGGACGUGUCCGACUUGGCCUCGACGAAACCCUGCGAACACAAGAAGGUGGCGAAGCGACUGUACCAAGCCCGGGGGGCCUGCUUGAGGCCGUAGAGGGACUUGUUGAGCUUGCAGACCAUGUCGGGGUGAGCAGGGUUGACAAACCCAACGGGCUGCUGUAUCUGAGCCGGGACGGAGGAUGAACAGGGACGUGUCCGACUUGGCCUCGACGAAACCCUGCGAACACAAGAAGGUGGCGAAGCGACUGUACCAAGCCCGGGGGGCCUGCUUGAGGCCGUAGAGGGACUUGUUGAGCUUGCAGACCAUGUCGGGGUGAGCAGGGUUGACAAACCCAACGGGCUGGGUGCAGUAGAUCGUCUCCGUGAGGGUGCCGUGGAGGAAGGCGUUCGUCACGUCGAGUUGGUGGACCGGCCAGUCCCUGGAUAGUGCCAGAGUCAGAACAGUCUGGAUGGUGGCAGGCUUGGCCACCGGACUGAAGGUCUCGUCGUAGUCGACCCUAGGGUGCUGGGUGAAGCCCCGAAGCACAUAACGAGCCUUGUACCACUCCAGGGACCCGUCGGCGUGCAACUUCAGCUUGAAGAUCCAUUUCCCGGUGACCACGUUGGUGCCAGGGGGAGAAGGCACCAAGUCCCAGGUGUGGUUAGCCUGGAGAGCCUCGUACUCCGCUUCCAUGGCGCGCCACCACUGUGGGUCGGCAAGCGCACCACUGACAGUCGUGGGUACCGGCGGAAGAGCCGGAGAAGAGGUCGCGGAGAGAAUUAGGCGAUCAGGCGGCCGAAGGAUACCGGCCGCGCGCCUGGUGACCAUCGGGUGGAUGUGUCGAGGAUCCCGGUGGACGAUGACGGGGUGAUAGGUCGGGGCCUCAGCGCGAGAGCGAGUCGGGGUACCGCGUCGACCACGACGCUGGUACGUCUAGAUGGGGUCGGUGUAGCGAGACGACGGAGCGGUGUGGGAUGGUGCAGAAGGCGCCGGUGCCGCACGGGGCUGUGCGGGAGACGUGGGGGUCGCGCGAGGCGACAGAGGGGACGCUGAGGCCGCACGUGGUUGUGCGGUGGAGGGCGGUGCUGAGGACGCCGAGGCCGCACAUGGUAGUGCGGGGGUGGGCGGCGCAGGCAGGGCCGCGCGAGGCGACUCAGGGAGCGCCGGGGCCGCACGUGGCUGUGCGGGGGUGGGCGACGCAGGCAGGGCCGCGUGAGGCGACUCAGGGAGCACCGGGGCCGCACGUGGCUGUGCGGGGGAGGGCGUCGCAGGCAGGGCCGUGCGAGGCGGCGAAGUGGACGAACCGGCGGGAAACGGGGGCAUGAUUAUGGGGACACAUGGUCGAGGUCGGGGGACACGUCGAGCUCGGGGGACACGUCGAGCUCGGGGAGAGGCAGCGGGAGAGGAGGAAAAAGGGAAAUCCGACUCGUUGAAAAUGACGUGACGAGAGAUGAGGACUCUGUGGGAUGUGAGGUCAAGACACCGAUACCCCUUAUGGUCGGGGGAGUAGCCGAGGAAGACACAGCGAGUGGAGCGAGGGGCGAGCUUAUGAGGAGCAGUGGAAGCGAGAUUGGGGUAGCAAGCGCACCCGAAGACACGAAGAUUGUCGUAAGAGGGAUGGAUGCCGAAGAGAGCGUAGUAAGGAGUGGGGUGGGCAACUGCCUUGGUGAGGAGACGGUUGAGGAGGUAGGUGGCAGUGGCGAGGGCCUCAGGCCAGUAUCGAGCGAGAAGAGAAGCCUGAAAAAGUAGAGGGCGCACGAAAUCGUUCGUCGUGCGAAUCAUACGCUCAGCCCGGCCGUUCUGAGGAGACGUGUAGGGGCAUGGCAUGCGGAGGUGGACGUCGCGAGAGAGGAAGAAGUCACGAGACACAUUGUUAUAAAACUCGUGUCCGUUGUCACACUGGAUGCUUCGGAUGGUGCGACCAAACUGAGUGGAGACCCAGGCGAAGAAGUGAGACAGGGUGGGAUAAGUGUCAGACUUCUGACGUAAAGGAAAAGUCCACAUAUAAUGCGAGAAGUCAUCGAGAAUGAGUAAAUGAUACUUAGAUCCAGAAAUGCUGAUUACAGGAGAUGUCCAUACAUGGGGACCUAACUGACAAGCAUGACAGAGGUGCUCAAAAGAUCUCCUACAACCUGAACCAGAGGUGCUGCUGGAGAGCUUGGACAUCACCUCGUGGCCGGGGUGACCAAGACGACGAUGCCAAGUCACAGAAGAGGCGGCCGCAGCAAGGACAUGUGGGGCAAAAGUCGAUGUAGGGGAAGCAGGCAGGCGGAGUGUGUAGAGCGGCCCGGGGCUGUCACACCGAGCGAGAAGGGUCCUGGUGGCAAGAUCCUUCAUAGAAAGACCAAACGGGUCAAAUUCCAUGGAACAAGAGUUGUCAGUAGUGAACUGACGGACGAAAAAAGAUUUUGAAUGAUGUGGGGGGCAACAAGAACCUUGGAUAAACGGAAAGGACCGGGAAGGACCGCGUCACCUACUGAGGUGACGGGAAGGGCAGAGCCGUUUCCAACCACGAUGGAAGAAGGAAGGGAAGGGUGGGGGGGGGGAGAGGUGGAGGACAGAAUACCUGCGUCCGGGGUGGUGUGGUAGGAGGCACCGGAGUCAGCCACCCAGUCAGAGACCGAGGUGGGUGGGGCCAGCGUCAUCGUGGAGAAGGAGUUGGCGAGAGACUGCGUGUCCCACCCAUUUGUCCAGGGCCCCCACACGGGCUGGGUCGGAGGCCCCGGAAGGGGAAGGAGCCCCUGCUGAGGCUGAGGAGGUGCCGAGGGCGCUGCCGGAGGUGGAGCGGCAAAGAAGACCUGCUGAGGGGUGGUGGGGCGAGGGGCCGAGGCACCCGCGGACGGCCCAGGCUACAUGUGGAUGGUGCCAGUCCACGGGUUGUAGACAGAUGGCCACUGGGAACCACCUGUCGUGUCACUGGAUCCACUCUUGCGACCACGUCCGCGACCUCCCCAGAGCCAUUAGGCUGCCGAAGAGUUCCAGGCGACGGGGGACCGAAGUGCGGUGAAGAGGAACCCCCCGGAGGCAGAGGGGCAGCCCGAGGAGCGCUGUAGAGCGCCGUGGCGGGAGCGGCGGUCGCAGUGGCAGAGAGGCGAGGCUCCUCGAGAAGCAGAUCGUUCUUGGUCUCCGCAAAGGUUGGAAAAGGCUUCAUGCGGGUAAGAAUGGGCGUCACACGAUCGAAGCGAGGGCUCAAACCGCGGAGGAGGUUGAGCACGAGGCACUCGUCGGUGAUGGGGGCCCCGAGGGUGCGGAGAGUGUCCUCCAUCGUCUUCAUCUGACGGCAGUACUCGUCCACAGAGAGAUCGCCCUGAGCAAGCUGACGGAAGGGGAUCUCGAGGUACAGGAUCCGAGUCUGGCGGUGGCCGAGGAACUGAGCCUCAAGGGCACCCUAGAUCCGGUGAGCGGUAUCGUCCGGCACGCGAACGAUGUCCUGAAGUUUAGCCGUGAGGGUGCCAUGGAUCCAGGAAAGCACCACCUCGUCCAUCAGAAGUCAAUCCUCUGACGGGUCAGGGACCGCUGAGAGGACGUGGUCGGCAAGGGCGUAGCAGCGGAGGGUCUGCAGGACUUGGUCGCGCCACCGGGGGUACUGAGUGGAGUCCGGCGCAAGAACGUCGGUGACGGUUGCCCGAAUGCUGGUGAGGGCCGCCGCCUGAGCGUGAAGAGAACCGCGAAGGGUUGAGGCCGGGGUUGGCGUGGGCUCGAAGGUGUCGGCGCUAUGGCGAGCGGACGUGGGGGAGCCAUCCGACAUGCCCUUGCCGGCGAGACGGUGGUAGGUCUCGGCGUACUGACGCUCGAUGGCGUCGACAACCGCCUGCUUUUGCUCAAGAGCACGAGCGUCGUCCUGGGCCCGCUGGCGAGCAGCUGUAACGGCUGCCCGGGUGGCGGCGAGAAUGGCAGCAACAUCAUCCGAAGGAGCGCACAGGGAGGAGGUGAUGGCGGACAACUGGCUGUAGACAGUCGUCGGCAGGGGGCAGCUACGCACGGGAGCCCCGCCAGUCGUGUCAAGUGGGACAUGUGGAAACCCUGGCGCUAGCAGUUGGGAGCGAAGCAGGGCGGCAUCCGGCAGGGAGAGCACAGGAGCCGGCCGAGACCCGUCGGGGCUAGGGGCGGCCGCGAGUGUGGCGGAUUGGGUCGGCGCGGGCCGGGGUGGCCCGACGGUGGGGGGCAGCCUAGUAGUGAUGACGGAGGCGUGCCCCGUCGGUGCGCCGGGAGCGGCGAUGGGGCGCGCAAGGGCGGAGACAACAGAUGUGGUGGGGAAGGGCGCCGCAGGGGGCGCGGUGACUGCCGUCGGCGUGCUGACCACAUAGGGUAGGGUCGCCAGGGACGCAGCGGUGCGCGGCGGUGCUCCUGCCGCAGAGGGGAGGGGUGCCGGAGGGGUGGUGGGUACCGACAGCACGCCGGCCGCAGGGGAGACGAGCACCGGAGGGGCGGCGAGGCCCGGCGGCGCUUCUGCCGUGAGGGAGCUGGUCGCCGGAGUGACGGCGAGAUCCGGCGGCGAGCCGACUGCGGGGGAGGAGACCGCCGUGGGCGCGCCGGCCAUGGGGAAGAUGGCCGCCGGGGGCGCGACAAGAGCGGCACGGUAGGAGAGAGGAAGGGGAGGGAAGGGCUCGCCGGCGCGUGGGGAGAAGGGUGGGGCGGCGACCGACCCGCCAUGGAGGGGCGGCGGCAGCUGGAGGAAGGGUGGGGGCGGCGGCUGUAGGAAGGGAGAAGGAAACCUAAAGCUCUGGUACCGUGUUGUAGUAUAGAAUACAAUACCCUAGCUGCAGGAGUACAAGACUAUAUGGAACCCUAGUGGGCCAGGCCCAUAUACACAGAUACACAGAUACUCUAACACCACCCACCAAGCCGCGAGUUCCAUAACGGAACUAGUGGGGUGGUAGGGGUAGAAGCGGUGGCUAAGGUGCCGAUGGCAUAGAGGGAAAGGGGCCAAGAGGGUACCUCGAGCCGUGCAUCGUCAGGUGAGCUGUUUGGGGUGGAGGCAGAUGCGGGGAAGGUCUACCAGGGGAUGGGCCGGUCCACAUGGAGACGCGACUAGUCUACGGGUUGUAGAGAGAGGGCCAAGGAGUGUCCUCUUGACCACCCUUGUUGGUUCGCUUUGGGGCCAAUCACCAAACGAACCCUAGGGCCGGCGCACGACGUGUAGGACCUUGUGGUUCUCUCUACGGGAGCGUGGACUGUCCGCACUUGGUGGCCGGACCAUCCGCUACUGCGCAGAGGGGCUUCAGUCUUCCCUGCUGACGCGUGGACCGUCUGUGAUUGGGCAGUGGACCGUCUGCGUGUGCGCAGAGGGCUUCAAGAUCUUCAGCACCUAGAUCUCGCCCCUCGGGAGGGACCCCGUCAGGGAGGAAAGGUCCUAGGGUUGUCUUGGGGUCGGCAGACCACCCAAGACGCCUCUAGGCGACAUAGAGUCGAGGAUGGGUGAAGAUUGUGGAUGAGAAAGGCUAAUUACUUCUACUCCUAGGGCAAGAAACGUAAAGACAAUGAUAAUAGAUUGAUUUGGAUCGAUUGUGUUGUGUUCCAAUCGGUCGUACCCCUUCAUAUAUAUAGUGGGGAGAUCUGGACCUGUUCCUAGGCGUAUCCCAACAGAUUCUUGUGCGAUUAGUUGGAUAAACACGCAUGAGAUAAGGAUUCCUGCCCGAGUUAAUCUGAUCGCGGACCGUUCGAGCUAUACAUGCGGAUCAUUCGGGGCGUGGACCACCCGGGCCACAUGGCCGGACCGUCCGGCCUUCCCCAGGUGCCACAAAUGGUGCUCAACAACCCUCACCUCCACGUCCACCCUACCAUCGAUAGCGACCACUACCCAUAGACCCCGCAUUCCCCUAGGUCCGGACUGGGAGGGAGGGUGCGUGUAGCCAGAGGCCGAAGGGAUAGACGAGCGCGACCACGAGCCCCCAAGGUAGGAGUGGAGGAGGGUGGUCGCAAGGUCUGGCCCCGGGGGUGGAUCUGUAGAGAGUGGUAGCGGCAUCGAAGCGAGGAGGUGCCCCCUUGGUGAGCUCCUCGAGGAUGAUGUUAUUGCAGACCUUGGCGAAAGACAAACAAUAUCGAAUGUAAUCCAAGUCCGGAGGUGAUGGUAGCGCUUGUUGAGAUCACAGAGAAGGUCGAGGACGAGCGUGCAAUCGGAGACAAGCACCCCGAGGUCACAAAGGGAGGCCACAACGCCUUUCAUCUAGCAGCAGUACUCAGUGAUAGAGAGGUCCUCUUAGAUGAAAUCUGGAUGGCGACAUUGAGGUGGAGAGCUUGAGUCUUGCGGUUGCUGAGGAACUGCUCCUCGGUGGCAACCUAGGCCUGACGAGCAGUGCCACCACGCUCGUGAAUGAUAUCUUGUAGUUCAACAGUAAUCGUCCCGAUGAUCCAAGAGAAGACCACACUAACCGUCUGACGCUAGGAGGGGGAUAGUGAGGGACACUAUGUCCGUGAGGACGUGGUCGUCCAGGACGUAGCACUGUAGGGUGAGGAGGACGAGGUCCUACCAACAUGCUUAGGUGGAGGAAGUCGGAUCGAGGAUGACGACAACCAGAGAGCGGAUGUUCUAGAUACCCGUCGCCUAGGCAUGGAGGUUGGCGAUGACGGCAACCUCGUGCGCCAGGGGGGUGGUCAACCACUUGGGGUUCUGUGAGAGGGUCGAGGCAGGGAGAGCCAAGUAGAUGGCUCUUAGCCUCAGCAUGGUAACAUGCAUGGGUAUUGACGACAAUCUGUUUGUGCUCCCAGCCUCCCAGACUAGAGCAGCGACACGUUCAUGCUCCCGAGCAAUAGCCACAACCGCCUUAGCAACCAUGAGGGCUGCAACUAGAUUGGAGUGGGCAAUCACGAUGUCGGGUGCGGAGCAGGAUGGGGCGCUCGGUGCGGGGGAGGUCGUGCCUAGGACAGUAGCGUCAGGGCCGAGGCCAGCUAGGCCAAAGGUAGCUAGGCCCGUGCCCAGGCGAGGGGUGGCCAGGUCAGCAGCGCCCGGGCCGGGGACACCAAGGCUCCGCUGUGCGGUGGAGGCGGGGGCGGGCGAUGGUUGAAGGUCAGGGAAGGCGGUGGUGUUGGUGGAUGAGUGAAGCCCUGUCUUAACCGAGGACCAGCAUUCAGCAACGAGGUAGAAGAGAGCCAAGGGGAGGAGAGCCUGCUGUGUGGAGAGGGGGCCGCCAGCCAUGGUGGUUGUGGCCUGGGAGUGACUGAUGGCGGUAUGGGGUAACUGGCAGCUGGGGGAGGGGAGGAGGGAGGAAAGAGUGGUUGGAUACCAUGUUAGAGGAAGUGAAACCCUAAUUCAUUGAAUGGUCUGAGUAGUACAUAUAUCAGAAUUACAUGGGCUGGGCUCUAGCCUCAUAACAUUUAAAUAGAAAUACAAUAGUCUAACAUGAUCCAUUAAGUUCAGUCCAUGGAGAAGAAUUUGGAAAAGUUGGGCACCUCUUCGGUGCAGAUUCUUUCUGUGGCUUGCUAAGAAUAAUCGAUGUUGGACAGUGGAUCGUCUUGCCAAAUGUGGUCUCCGUCACCUGGAGGUCUGUCCCUUGUCUGACCAAGUUGAUGAGACCCUCCAACACAUUCUCCCUCGGUUGUGUCUUUUCCAGUCAGGUCUGGGUCUUGAUCCUGCAAUCUUUGAACUUGGCUGACAUUGCCCUCUUGGUGGCUGAUUCGUGUUUUUUCCCUGGUGGGCACUGGGCACUCUCUGUCAAGCUGGUGCCCAAAAUUAUGCUUAAGGGGCUUAACACACACUGUAUUUUAGUGGCCUGGGAAAUCUGGAAAUUCAGAGGCAUGAGUCUUUGGGUAUUUUCUCUUCUAGGUCCUACUACAUGGUUCUGUUUAUGGGCUUCAUCACCUUUGAACCAUGAAAAAGACUUUGGAAAUCUUGGGCUCCUCCAAAAUGCAAGACCUUUUUAUGGUUGGCCAUGUAGAACAAGUGUUGGACAGCUGACAGACUGCAAAAGAGGUCUUCCUCAUCCGGAAGCAUGCCCUUUUUGUGACCAAGAGCAAGAAACGGUACAACAUUUGUUGACUAGUUGUGCCUUCACCAGGCAGUUUUGGUACAACAUUCUCUCCCCCUUUGGUAUGGGCCGGCUCACUCCCGGGCCAGAGGAAACUACACUUGCUGACUGGUGGAGAGAAGUGGGCAAUCGAGUGCACAAAGGCUUUAGAAAGGACGUCAAUAACGCCAUUAUCUUGGGAGCAUUGCUUAUGGUUACAUCAAAACAUAGUUAUUUUCGAUGGAGAAUCUCGGACCAUUGGCAAGGUGCAGAGAAGCUUCCUAGAUGAGCUAGCUUUAUGGGUCUUGGCUGGUGCCAAACACCUCUGGAGCCUAGCUCUUGCUGCUGCUCGUAGUGCAGCAAGGUUGUUUUAGUAAUUUUUGGUCGCCCUUUUGUACCUUUCCUUAUGGAUCCAUUUAUUUAUGCCUAUUGUUGGCCACCAUAGGGAGGCUUUUGUACCGGUCCUCUUGGACCUUAAUCCCUUUCUUCUUAAUAUAAUGAGACACAGUUCUCCUGCGUUUUUCGAGAAAAAAAGAAACCUGUGUGUGUUUAAGGGCUCCCAGCCAAAUAUUCAACUCCUCCAUAGAAUAAGAAGUGAGGGCCUUCUUUCGUGUGCUGCUGGAGCUUCUGAGUUGCAUGAGCUCCUUAGUAGGUCGCUAACCCCAGCUGGUUAGGUGUUGGAAGUCCUGGUCAUUUAUGUUGUUUCUUAUGUAAAUCCCCUUAGGGGCAUGUAUUGUACUCAGGUUGGGUAGCUUUGACCUUUUCCAACUGUUUUCCUACUAAAAUGAAAUGACACACAGCUCUUCUGCGUCGUUCGAGAAUUUUUUGUUACACAGUGUGCAUUUGUGCUAUUUAGUUUAAUAUAGUUUGUUAAUUGCAAAAUUUCCAGUCAUAAUUCAUACUUCAGUUGACCUUGAUAUAGCUUCAUGUGUUUAUUAGCCUUACAAACUAUUAAUUACCUUGCUUGUUAUUUAAGUUUUCUUAGAUUUUCUUGUUCUAUAAUUCAGCAUCAACAAAAUCUUGAGGAGCAGGAGCCAUUGUCUUCAAUUUUUGAUGGAUCAUCUCCAGCCUCUGCAAUUGUUGCAGUAGACACAAAUCUGGAUACUUCCACACCUGACACAUAUCGAGCGCCGCCUGCACCCUUGCCUUAUGAUGUUAUUUUGGCAGUCCCAAAUAACCCUGGUAAAUAAUUGACUAGCAGUUAUAUGACUGAUGAUUAUUAACUAUUCUUACUGUCUUAAUGGUUGAUCUUAGGUUUUGGAAACUCUGUAGGUUUGGAGAAGCCAGACACUAAGAGCAAAACUGAUGACCAACAAGAGUCCAUAAAUGAUCAGGAGUCUUUAAAGGUGGAUGAGUCAUGUAAGAAAAGUGUCACUGAAGAUAAGGCUGAUGAGGAGGAUGUUUGCCCUAUCUGCCUUGAAGGUUGUGUUUCUCUUGUUCACUGAAAAAUUUAUUUGCAUAGUUUUUUUUUCUUCCUCAAACACGCAGGAGACCUGCGCAUAUUCUAUUAAAGAAAGCUGUCCCCUCACGAUCCUUACAAACAACCAUUCUAACUCCCACUAAGAGACCAGAAGGGUUGUAACACUGAGAAAAAGAUCUCCCAAGCAAACUAGGCUAACGACCCAAUAAAGACUACAUCUUGCUGCCAUCACGAUCUAGGCCCAGGAAUUAGAGCUUUUUGGCUCCAACAAGACCCCAAAUUUUCUCAACUCUCCCUUGAAGAAUUUAUGUGCAAUCUGUAAUUCUGUAGGGAGGUGGGAAUUCCAUAAGGUUCAAGCCCCCAAAAUCACAGUGCUAUUAAAUUCCUUCCUUUGAGCUUUGUUAAUGUGGCAACUUGCUUCUCUCCACCAUUCAACAAAGCUUGGUUCAGAUUGCCUGGGAGUAACACACCCAAGACUAGCAGAUGCUAGUACCAUGUCCUUUUGUUAGCGUGAUGUAUAGGACCACGGGCCCAGGGGGGUUCGGCUGCAACCCUAGGGAGUGCGGCUGCUGUCGCCUCCCUCCCUGGUUUUGGUAGUGUUGGUUAUGUUUGGCAAGGAUUCCCUAGAUUAGCUCUUUCCUUUCUAGAUUAGAUCUUUCCUAUUCCUGGGACAUCCUUGCCUAUAUGUACUGAGCCUUGGGCUCCCUCCAUAAUCAAUCUACUAUCUUUCCCAGCCAUCCUCUUUCAUGGUAUCACGAGACCGGGACUUUUCUCUCUCGCCCUUCCGCUGCCCCUGCGCACACUAGCUGUGCAUCGGUAUGGUUGGGACUCCUCCCCCCUCCCUCGUCGAUCCUGCCGAUCAGCCUCGCCAAGACGGGAUGCUCCUUCGCAGACCAACGCCGAGGCUCGCCGCGCCCUCCGCGAGGCUGCUCUGGCCGCCGCUCAGGCAGUUGAGCAGGAAGUCGCCGACGCCUCCAACGAGCGCGACGCCGCCGCGGAGCGCGUCCGCGCUGCCCUCGCUCGGGCGGUCAAGGCCUGGGCCGCCGCCGCCGCCGCCGCGGUUGAUCGCGUCGAACAGCCUCACGCGGGCGGCGAAAUGAGUGUCACCCACGCCAUGGUGCUCCACGAGGCCGCUGCCGUCCUCAACCUCCACGCUCAGGCGGUCUCCGUGCAGAACGCACGCAGCCUGGUGCUGACCGUCCUCGACACCGCCGACAACUACCCCCUACCCCCGUUGGCGCGAGCAGUUCCUCCUCGCCGUCACCAAAUACUCGCUGCUAGACCACGUCCACAGCGACUCCGUCUCGGCCCUUGCUGACUGGACUCGGAUGGACGCCGUCGUCAAGUCAUGGCUCUACAACACGGUCUCCGCUGACCUCGCCGACGCCAUCGACUUGGGCGGCGAAGCGGAAUGUGGAGCUCGUGGAGGAGCUGGCGUAGCCAAGAAGCCUCAGCAACACCAUUGGCGACAUCGCGAUACUCAACUUCUGCACUAGAGCGAGAGACAAUAUUCUGACGCUUGGAGGACCAGGAGACCAAGUUGUCGCCGAGGUACACAGCAUAGCCCGAGGUGGACUUGCGCGUAUCGGGACAGCCAACCCAGUCAGCAUCAGAGUAAACCACCAAAUCAUCUCUCGUCACGUUGUCUUCGACGAGUCCACCUUCCCUUUCGCCGAGCAGCCCUCACCGCCCACGGCUGCGGACUUCACCUUUUUAGAUGAAUUCUCUAACUCGACAGUCCCUCCUAUAGGACCGCCGACCAUGUCUUCUGCAGGAUCUCCAGGUUCUCGUGGUGCUGUUCUUUCUGCGCCCCCAGUCCCCCCGGGGUUCCUCGCACUCCCGGGUGCUGUGCCACGCGCGGCCUUGACUCCCUCCUCGCCGAUCGAGGCGCUGCUGUCCUCGCCACGACCAGUCGUGACCUCGACCACUCCCGCGCCACGCGCGGCCACGCUGGCCUCCUCCGCACUCCCACGCCGGCCUCCUCCGCACUCCCACGUGCGGGACAGCCGGGCUUCCCCGCGUUGCCACGCGCGGCACCGUCUCCACCAGGCGCGCAGCCCCCAGUUCUGCGCGUCUACUCCAGGCGCCCCAAGCCAGUCGCCCCAGCACUGACUGGACCGGCUCCUGCGCCAGCCCCUGCAGCACCGGCUGCUCCUCCAGCACCCGUCCCUCUUCCCUGGGGUGCUGUCGCCGUCCCACCCACGGUCAACCAGCAUCACAUGGUGACUCGGGCCAAGGACGACUUUCGCUUGCCGGUGCUGUACCAUGCUGCGCCCCUGUCUCCGGUUCCGAAGACCUUCCAUAGUGCCCUUGCCGAUCCCAAUUGGUGGGCUGCUAUGGAGGAAGAGCAUAUAGCGCUUCUCCAGAACCAGACUUGGGACUUGGUUCCUCGGCCCCGACAUGCCAACACUGUCACGAGCAAGUGGAUCUUGAAGCACAAGUUUCACGUCGAUGGUUCUCUGGAACGCUACAAGGCUCGUUGGGUCCUUCGUGGUUUCACCCAGCGUCCUGGCGUUGACUUUGCCGAAACCUUCAGUCCCGUCGUCAAGCCUGCCACAGUCCGCACGGUGCUCUCUCUGGCUCUCUCCCGCCAAUGGCCAGUUCACCAGCUCGACGUUAAGAAUGCCUUCCUCCAUGGCACCCUGACAGAGACGGUGUUCGCUGCUCAGCCCUCCGGAUUCGAGGAUCCUGCUCACCCUGACUUUGUUUGUCGCCUGAACAAGUCACUUUAUGGGUUGAAGCAGGCUCCUCGUGCUUGGUACAGCCGCUUCGCCACGUACCUGGCCUCCCUCAGCUUUGUGGAGGCCAAGUCAGACACUUCGUUGUUUGUCUACCACCGAGGUUCUGACACAGCCUACCUGGUCCUCUAUGUCGACGAUAUUGUUCUCACUGCCUCUUCGACACAUCUUCAGCGGAAGGUCAUCCUGGCUCUCCACCGGGAAUUUGCUAUGAAGGAUUUGAGAGAACUUCAUCACUUCUUGGGGAUGCAGGUUCAGCGCACUACUGAUGGUAUGGUUCUCUCUCAGCGGCAGUAUAUGUUGGACAUCUUGGAUCGUGCUGGCAUGGCGGAGUGCAAACCUUGUACUACGCUCGUCGACACCAGUCCCAAGAUCUCAGCUGACUCUGGAGCUCCAGUCGCCGACCCGUCAGAUUAUCGCAGUCUUGCUGGCGCCUUGCAGUACCUGACCUUCACACGGCCCGACAUUGCCUACGCCGUGCAGCAGGUCUGUCUUCACAUGCAUGAUCCGUGAGAGCCUCACCUGGCAACUCUCAAGCGCAUCCUUCGGUACAUUCAGGGUACUCUUCACCUGGGUCUUCAUCUCCGUCCGUCGACUCAGGAUGACUUGGUGGUUUACUCUGAUGCUGACUGGGCUGGCUGUCCCGAUACGUGCAAGUCCAUCUCAGGCUAUGCUGUGUUCCUCGACGACAACUUGGUCUCCUGGUCCUCCAAGCGUCAGAAUAUUGUUUCUCGCUCUAGUGCAGAAGCUGAGUACCGCGCUGUCGCCAAUGGUGUUGCUGAGGCUUCUUGGCUACGCCAGCUCCUCCAUGAGCUCCACAUUCCGCUUCGCCGCGCCACAAUUGUCUACUGUGACAAUGUCAGCGCAGUUUACAUGUCCUCCAACCCGGUACAACAUCAACGGACGAAGCACAUCGAGAUCGAUCUUCACUUCGUCCGUGAGAAGGUCGCGAUGGGUGCCGUGCGGGUUCUUCAUGUUUCCACGACAUCCCAGUUUGCCGACGUCUUCACGAAGGGGCUGCCUUCUUCGGUGUUCACUGAGUUUCGGUCCAGUCUGAAUGUCCGUGGCUAAGCACCGACGUUCAAACUGCGGGGGCGUGUUAGUGUGAUGUAUAGGCCCAUGGGCCCAGGGGGGUUCGGCUGCAACCCUAGUGGGUGCGGCUGCUGCCUCCCUCCCUGGUUUUGGUAGUGUUGGUUAUGUUUGGCAAGGAUUCCCUAGAUUAGCUCUUUCCUUUCUAGAUUAGAUCUUUCCUAUUCCUGGGACAUCCUUGCCUAUAUGUACUGAGCCUUGGGCUCCCUCCAUAAUCAAUCUACUAUCUUUCCCAGCCAUCCUCUUUCACUUUUGAGGCGCCGCAGCGAGGUGGGGCUCUACCCCCUCACAACGCCUAGGCGUUUAUGCUGGACUCCUAGGAGACACCAUACACAUAUUGUAAGGUGUUAUAACUUAUAAGCUAGAAUUUUAUAUACUAGUGCAGUACUACAUACCUGCUUUGUUCCCAAUUCUUGAGCCCAAGUUCCUUUCUUCCCUUUCCAAAAGCUCUUCUCCCAUGUAGCAUCCAUCCCCUUUGAAGGAAACUACAUGGCAAUUCCAAAUUCAGUAGUCUAUGACAGGAAGAUAAGUAAAUGAACAGGUUAUCAGUUGUUGGGAAUUAAUAGGAAACAAUAUUCAGAGGCAAGAUAACAAAUUAGCACGCACUAGUGCAUGCAUGAGCAUGGCAAUAUGACAUCAUAAUCUAUCUCUAGUAGCCCACGAACUUAGAGACUGAAGUAUUUAACCCUAAAGCUUACUAAUUACUAGUCAACUACACCAAAGCCAUAUAACAGAGUGAAGGACAACCAAUGAUUUCAAGUCGCCUAGUCGCCUGGUCGAACCCUGGGACCGACCAGGCGACUAGUCGUGAUUAGGUGACGACUAGGGCGACUAGUCGACCCCUAGUCGGUCCCUGGUCGUCCUAGACUAGUAGUUAUACUUAUAUAGGUAUAUAUAUAAAUAUACAUGUAUACAUUAUAUAAAUUAGAACAAACAACUAGGAUAAACAAAGUAACAUGUUGCUUCAUUGUUUAGGGUAUAGGGUUAUUUAGGGUUUAGGGGGAGAAGUGGGGGAGCAGGAGGGACCUUCAGAUGACGUGCUCAUCUCGUCACUGGUUCGCAGCCACCGCCGGUUGGAGAUUGCAGCAGUGCAGCAGGCGAGUAGGACUGCAGAAGGGGCAGGGGACGCAGGGUGCUGUAGCCGCCGGCAAUCAGGAGUUCAGGACUGCAGGGGCUGUGCCAAGAGAGGAGAGGAGACGUGCAGGUUGGAGCUGUUGGCGGCUAGGAUAGAACAGAAGAGGAGAG